GAACAAACCAUUGAAAUAUACAUAUCGAUGGUGGAACGUACGAUCACCGCCAGUGUAACGCAAACUUCAUAGUCAUGCGCCACUGGAAAACGGCGCACCAGAAGUGAAAAUACGAAAUGAGCUUCAGACUGACCUUGAAUUAGAAAACGUGACAGGAACAGCUGAGAAACACAAGCAAACACCUCCUGGACCACCAAUAAGAAGACACAAGAGCCAUAUAUAAG